GGGUGGAAAGGUGGCGGACGAAUCCAAGGCGAAGAAUGGAAAGACAGCAUCCAAAGCCACGGAGAAAGGAAAGGCAGCAACGAAUGCGCCCAACAACAA
rnacentral:snRNA from 1 species